rfam:Parcubacteria (Kuenenbacteria) bacterium GW2011_GWA2_42_15 TV02_C0051, whole genome shotgun sequence.
GGAGAGGUGCCGGAGCGGUCGAACGGGACGGUCUUGAAAACCGUUAUCCCGCCUAGCGGGAUCGUGAGUUCGAAUCUCACCCUCUCCG